UACGUAGGGUGCAGGCGUUAAUCGGAAUUACUGGGCGUAAAGCGUGCGCAGGCGGUUUCUUAAGUCAGAUGUGAAAGCCCCGGGCUUAACCUGGGAACUGCGUUUGAAACUGGGAGACUUGAGUGUGGCAGAGGGGGGUGGAAUUCCGCGUGUAGCAGUGAAAUGCGUAGAGAUGCGGAGGAACACCGAUGGCGAAGGCAGCCCCCUGGGCCAAUACUGACGCUCAGGCACGAAAGCGUGGGGAGCAAACAGG
rnacentral:rRNA from 1 species